GCCUUCGUAGUGUAAUGGUCAGCACACUCAGCUCCUAUUUGAGAGGUCCGAGGUUCGAGUCCCGGAAAGGGCA
rnacentral:tRNA from 1 species